rnacentral:rRNA from 1 species
UACAGAGGUCUCGAGCGUUAGGCGGAAUCACUGGGCUUAAAGCGUGUGUAGGCGGAUCGUUAAGUACCUUGUGAAAUCCCACGGCUUAACCGUGGAACUGCUUGGUAUACUGGCGGUCUUGAGCCAGCUAGGGGCUACCGGAACAAAAUGGUGGAGCGGUGAAAUGCGUAGAUAUCAUUUGGAACGCCAAUGGUGAAAACAGGUAGCUGGGGCUGUGGCU